rnacentral:lncRNA from 1 species
CAUCUUAUUGAAUGUUUACCGUUAAGAGGAACUGGUGAAACCAUACAGAAGACCCAGGAUUCCCACUGGCCUCAGAGUCCCACCAUCCACUCUGGUCACUCACCACAAAUGGACAACCUGGGCAGUCACUGUCCUGGAUUGGGCAUAUUGCAGUGUACAUAACAGGCUGGGCUCCUGGUCUCAUGGAGUGAACUGUCCAGGGCCAGAUAGAGGCGGAAAGCGACACCGAGAAUCCAUUCCAAACGAGCAGCCAAGAGGAGACGAGGCAGCUCCCAGAUGUUGAUGCUUUGUUUUUUGACAUAAAUCUUUGCACUCAUGUGGGAGUUUUCAUUGAUUCAUGUUCCCAUCUGCUGAAUUUCCU